rnacentral:rRNA from 1 species
AUUGAACGCUGGCGGCAUGCCUAACACAUGCAAGUCGAACGGUAGCAGGGUUCUGGCUGCCGAAUACUGGGGCCGAGGGGCGUAUUAGGUCGGAAUAUCUACGAGUGUGGGGGUUAGCGCGGCGGAAGAUUGGCUAACAUACCAUAUGACCGCAGACGGACAACGGGGGAGAGCAUGGGAUCUCGCGCUCUGAGAGGAUGCUAGGACGGAUUAUCUAGUUGGGGGGGUAAAGGCAUACCAAGGCGACGAUCCGUAGCUGGUCUGAGAGGAUGAUCAGCCACACUGGAACUGAGACACGGUCCAGACUCCUACGGGAGGCAGCAGUGGGGAAUAUUGGACAAUGGGCGCAAGCCUGAUCCAGCCAUGCCGCGUGUGUGAAGAAGGCCUUCGGGUUGUAAAGCACUUUUGUUCGGAACGAAAGGCAGUAGGUUAAUACCGCGCUGUUAUGACGGUACCGAAAGAAUAAGCACCGGCUAACUUCGUG